AUACUUGUCUGGGAGAUACCAUGGUCACAAAGGUGAUUUUCCAGGGUGAGGUUUAUCCACUGCACUAAGGAAGUGCUGACCCCUGAAAUUUCCCCAAAUGUGGGAAACUUGACUGCAUAUAAUUUGUGGCAGUGGGGGACUGUGUUUGCACUUUUCCCAC